rnacentral:rRNA from 1 species
AUCAACUUUCGAUUGGUAGGAUAGAGGCCUACCAUGGUUUUAACGGGUAACGGGGAAUUAGGGUUCGAUUCCGGAGAGGGAGCCUGAGAAACGGCUACCACAUCCAAGGAAGGCAGCAGGCGCGCAAAUUACCCAAUCCCGACACGGGGAGGUAGUGACAAUAAAUAACAAUACGGGGCUCAUUUGGGUCUCGUAAUUGGAAUGAGUACAAUUUAAAUCCCUUAACGAGGAACAAUUGGAGGGCAAGUCUGGUGCCAGCAGCCGCGGUAAUUCCAGCUCCAAUAGCGUAUAUUAAAGUUGUUGCAGUUAAAAAGCUCGUAGUUGAACUUCGGGGUUUACCCAUUGGUCAGGCUUAAUUGUCUGCACUGGUGAGAUAAAUCUCUACCUUCUGAGGAACUUUCAUGCCAUUUAUUUGGUGUGAUGGGAAAUCAGGACUGUUACUUUGAAAAAAUUAGAGUGUUUAAAGCAGGCUAACGUCUGAAUACAUUAGCAUGGAAUAAUGAAAUAGGACGGACUGAUUCUAUUUCGUUGGUUUCUAGGAUCACCGUAAUGAUUAAUAGGGAUAGUUGGGGGCAUUAGUAUUCAAUUGUCAGAGGUGAAAUUCUUGGAUUUAUUGAAGACUAACUACUGUGAAAGCAUUUGCCAAGGAUGUUUUCAUUAAUCAAGAACGAAAGUUAGGGGAUCGAAGACGAUCGGAUACCGUCGUAGUCUUAGCCAUAAACUAUGCCGACUAGGGAUCGGAUGAUGUUAAUUUUUUAAUGACUCAUUCGGCGCCUUACGGGAAACCAAAGUGUUUGGGUUC